GGCUGCGUAGCUCAGUUGGUUAGAGCGUGGGACUCAUAAGCCCGAGGUCGCUGGUUCAAUUCCAGCCGCAGCUACCA
rnacentral:tRNA from 6 species